rnacentral:rRNA from 1 species
UAUACCUGUUGCUUCGGCGGCGCCCGCGAGGGUGCCCGCCGGUCUCAUCAGAAUCUCUGUUUUCGAACCCGACGAUACUUCUGAGUGUUCUUAGCGAACUGUCAAAACUUUUAACAACGGAUCUCUUGGCUCCAGCAUCGAUGAAGAACGCAGCGAAACGCGAUAUGUAAUGUGAAUUGCAGAAUUCAGUGAAUCAUCGAAUCUUUGAACGCACAUGGCGCCUUCCAGUAUCCUGGGAGGCAUGCCUGUCCGAGCGUCGUUUCAACCCUCGAGCCCCCGUGGCCCGGCGUUGGGGAUCUGCCACGGCAGGCCCCUAAAACCAGUGGCGGACCCGAAGGCCCUCUCCUUUGCGCAGUAGCAUCAGCCUCGCAUUGGGAUCCCUCGGCGUCCUGCCUCUAAACCCCCCACAAGUCCGCUCCGGCGGCACCAAGGUUGACCUCGGAUCAGGUAGGAAUACCCGCUGAACUUAAGCAUAUC